rnacentral:rRNA from 1 species
GUCUUUUUGAGUGGAUAAUUUAAAGUCUAAUCUGCCCACUGAUAAUAUUAAAGGGCUGCAGUAUAUUGACUGUACAAAGGUAGCAUAAUCAUUAGUUUUUUAAUUGGAAACUUGUAUGAAGGAUUGGAUGAAAUAUAGACUGUCUCUAAUUUAUUAUUAGAAAUUUAUUUUUUAGUUAAAAAGCUAAAAUAUAUUUAAAAGACGAGAAGACCCUAUAGAGUUUUAUAAUUAAAUUUAUUUGAAAAUUAUAUAAAAUUUUUAUUAUUAAAUAAAUUUAAUUAUUAUGUUGGGGUGACAGAAAAAUUAAAUAAACUUUUUUUAAAAAUUAAACAUAAAUAAAUGACUAAAUGAUCCAUUAAUAAUGAUUAUAAGAAAAAAUUACCUUAGGGAUAACAGCGUAAUAUUUUUUUUUAGUUCGAAUAAAAAAAAAAGUUUGCGACCUCGAUGUUGGAUUAAGAUAAAAUUUAAAUGCAAAAGUUUAAAAUUUUGAUCUGUUCGAUCAUUAAAAUCUU